UACGUAGGGUACAAGCGUUGCCCGGAUUUACUGGGCGUAAAGAGCGCGCAGGCGGUCGUUCAAGUCGCGUGUGAAAGCCCCCGGCUCAACUGGGGAGGGUCACGCGAUACUGAUCGACUCGAAGGCAGGAGAGGGUAGUGGAAUUCCCGGUGUAGUGGUGAAAUGCGCAGAUAUCAGGAGGAACGCCGGUGGCGAAGGCGGUUCUCUGGGCAUGACCUGACGCUGAGGAGCGAAAGUGUGGGGAGCGAACAGG
rnacentral:rRNA from 1 species